rnacentral:ncRNA from 3 species
UGUGGGAGCGAGCCUGCUCGCGAUAGCGGUAUUUCAGUCGACAUCCUUGUUGUCUGAUACACCCUCAUCGCGAGCAGGCUCGCUCCCACA